GAUAUUUUUCUGCGCGCGUGCAUGUGUGUCUGUAUAGUGUGAGUGUGUGUGUUUGUGUGUGUGUGUGUGUAUAGUUGUGUGUCUUGGAGUCUCCACCUCCAGAUGAGCGACAAGCUAAGGGCCUCUCCUGGUUGGGCCCAGCUGGCGCCGUACGAGUGGGCUGGGCAGAUGCACGAGGCUGUGCCAGCUCUACUGGUGCAGAAGGGGGCACACCAGGCAGACAGGCCCGUGUCAGCAGCAGCAGCAGCAACUAUCCCCCUGGCUACAGUACAAGCAUAUGGCAGCAUCCUCCUCGAGGCAAAUGAAGCUUUUAAGCAGGGUGGAGGGACGUGGUGGGAGGAAGAGAUGCAGGUUGGCGGCUUACCGCUGAAAAAAAUUAAUUGACUUUCUGUGGAGCAUCACUUAUCCUCUAUCAACACCUUUGACUGGUCUGAUUCGAUGACAACACCACCAACUUUCUUCAUUUCUCGACGCUGGGCGAGUACUGAGGACUGCACAGGCUCCAGGACUGGUGCUGGAGCACAGCGCCUUAAAGCAGAAUAGGUGGCGGCCAGUGACCCCUAGUGGAAAACACAGGGUAUUACAUGAUCUGGCCUGACGACUAAAUAAUUGGCAAACACUACUGCCUACUGGACACAAUGAGAAAAACAAGUAUACAUAUUGUAGAUGUGGCACAUGAUACAUGGAACUUAUUAGAAAAAAAAAAGUUUUGUCUAGAUUUUGAGCACAACUGUUGGUCUGACCUUGACAGUGAGCAGAUCAUGUCUGGCAAGGACUUUGUCAGAGAGCUGGUCUCUCUCUACAAUCCAGGGAUGGCGAAGGAUCUUAAACAAACACAACACUGAUCAUGUAUUGCUUCAGGUGCACCUAAAGAAGAAUACACUAAACAAAUAUAUAAAGAUGAUAUUUAGGAUCCUAGAAUUCUAAAUACCUGUGGAGCAGUCAGACGCUGGUGAGGGUCCACAUGGAGCAUCUUAGUCACUAUGUCCUGGUAAAUAUAUGGGAGAUGAUGUUAUUGGUGAUGUCAUGACCUCUACCCGGGUCAAGUCUUGUUUUGUCUUAGUUUGUAGAUUUCCUGUGUUUAAGAUUUAUUUCUCUAUCAGUGGUUACCUCUGGUUGCUCGGGGCACUGGUUGAACACUCCGGCAUCUGUUUGUUGUUGAAUGUGACUCACACCUGUGCUCAAUCACAAUCGUGCCCCUAUUUAGACACGUCUCGCCGUCCAGUCGGUGCGGGUUAAACGACAUUUUAUGUUUGAGCAUGGCGUUGAUUUUUCGUGUUCCCAGGAUACGGAAGAACAAGAGGAAGCAGUGUGCAGGUAAGAGAGUAUUUCAUGUCCGAAUGUUCUUAAUCCGAAAUAGAGUGAAGCAGGGAAGUGUGAAUAAAAGCUCAGUGGCCUUGUGGUUAGAGUGUCUGUCCUGAGACUGGGGUGUCGUGAGUUCAAACCCCGGCCGGGUCAUACCAAAGACAAAAAACUGGACCCAUUGCAUCCCUGCUUGGCACUCAGCAUCAAGGGUUGGAAUUGGGGGUUAAAUGAACAAAUGAUUACCGAGCGUGGUGAUUGCUGCUGCUCACUGCUCCCCUCACCUCCAAGAGGGUGAAAAUGGUGAUGGGUCAAAUACAGAGGAAAAAUAUCACCACACCUAAUGUGUGUGUGUGUGUGACAAUGAUUGGGACUUUAACUUUAACAAUUCAAGCUAAGUCACAGGAAACAGUAGAGGCUAGAGAUGCGCGGUUUGCGGUCUCAUCCGUGGAGUCCGCGGAUAAACCGCGGGUCGGGCGGGUGACAUGACGAAAAAAUAGAUUUUAAUUGGAUUCGGGCGAGUGGCGGUUGAACCAUCCGGAAAUAUUUGAUAUACAUGGUUCUGGGAUCGGUAUCCUUUACCAUUCAAAGAGCCAUUUGAAACCCGUGUCACAAAGCGAAAAAGAAAAUAGGAGACACUAAUAUUCUCUAGAAUGACUGCCGGCAGUCAUCCAGUUAAUAAGUAUUAGGGCAUGCCAGGGGCGUCACUAGACCUAAUACUGUACUGGGGCACACCUGGGGCACAAAUAAUUCAUGUGAGCGUGCAAAGCGCGCAAGCAAAAACAUUUUUAGCACUUAUUUAUCAUAAAAAAUACAUAAAUAGUGCUUUAAACCAGUGCUCCCCAACCUUUUUGUUUCCGCGGACCGGUCAACGCUUAAUAAUUUGUCCCGCGGCCCCGGGGGGGUUUGCGGUCUCAUCCGUGGAGUCCGCGGAUAAACCGCGGGUCGGGCGGGUGACAUGACGAAAAAAUAGAUUUUAAUUGGAUUCGGGCGAGUGGCGGUUGAACCAUCCGGAAAUAUUUGAUAUACAUGGUUCUGGGAUCGGUAUCCUUUACCAUUCAAAGAGCCAUUUGAAACCCGUGUCACAAAGCGAAGAAGAAAAUACAAGACACUAAUAUUCUCUAGAAUGACUGCCGGCAGUCAUCCAGUUAAUAAGUAUUAGGGCGUGCCAGGGGCGCCACUAGACCUAAUACUGUACUGGGGCACACCUGGGGCACAAAUAAUUCAUGUGAGCGUGCAAAGCGCGCAAGCAAAAACAUUUUUAGCACUUAUUUAUCAUAACAAAUACAUAAAUAGUGCUUCAAACCAGUGGUCCCCAACCUUUUUGUAUCCGCGGACCGGUCAACGCUUAAUAAUUUGUCCCGCGGCCCCGGGGGGGUGUCCUUUUUUUUUUCUUUUUUUUUUUUCUUCUUUGUCAUGAAAAAGGGACGUUUUUGUAAUGAAAAGGGGAGUUUUUUGUGUUUGGUGCACUAUUUGUAAGUGUAUAUUGUGUUUUUUAUGUUGAUUUAAUAACAAAAAAAAAGAAAAAAACAAUUUUUAUUUUUUAUUUUUUUUUUAAGAAAAAGUUCUUCUGCGGCUUGGUACCAAUCGGGCCACGGACCGGUGGUGGAGGACCACUGCUUUAAACUAUGAAAUCAUAUCAGAUUAUGUUGUAUGGGUCUUUGAUUAACUACCUGAAAUUAACUAAUGCAUUUGACCUACUUGUGCACUUUUUUACUCCAGACUUCUAAACUGCUACUGGUAAAAGCAGAAAGGAAGAGCAAUCAUUCUUUUUGAAAUAUAUAUUGCAGUAAUAAUCUGCAAAUUUAACAUCUACAAAAGUAAAACAAAAAAUAAAGCACCCCUACAUCUCUGGGUUCUUUUAUAUUAUUUAAUUUCCAUUUAUGGAAAUGUGGCUAAUCCUAUUUCAGAUACACAAAACUGUAAAAUAUACACAAAACAAUAAAGCCACAGUAGUAGAAUAAAUUAACAACUAUUGUGUGUCUGUUCAGGGAAUCAUUUUCUGAGAAGUAAACUGUGACGUCUCGUUUUCAUUUUUGCAAAGUGGUCAAUCUCUCUGGACAAACAUGGAAAUAUUACAGUAACUGUUAUACAGUUGACCAGUGGUUCCCAACUGCUGGCUCGUGACAUAAAAGUGGAUUGUGUGUCAUUUUCAGUCAGAUGUGUGCAUGAAAAAAAAAAAAGUUUAGGGAGAAAAAAAUCAAAUUGUGGCAACAAAACCAGAUUAUUUUAACCUUUUUUCUAGUGACUAUUAGUGAGUAUUUUAGCAAAAGGCAAACCGACUAACAAGUUGGAGGACCAGCAGACAAUAACCAACAUUAUGUUUCAUGUUCAUUGGAAAUUCCCCCGACAGCUCGUACAGCAAAUGAAUAUGUUUGUCUUGAUACAAGGAAUAACGUUAGCUAACUUAGCAUCAACUUAAGACAAUGAUGUUGCCUAGCUAGCUAGGACUUCACUUACAUCUCUCAUUCCUUGCUGCUUCUUCUUCAUUGCUGCGGGCGAAUAACUUUCUUUAAUCCAUCUAGGAGUUACAGUUUAAGUCAAAUCCAAAUCAAAAUAAUGUAAUUAACAAAUUGUUGUUGGCUAACGUCACCUACCUCACGCAGUGAUUCGCAGCCCCCCCCCCCUCUCUCUCUCUCUCUCUCUCUCUCAACCGAAGUCUCGAUCCACACGUGAAUAAAUUACCCUAUUAAUUAGCCAUGUGGUCAUUGUUAGUGGAGUGAAUACAGUAGCAAUCAAUUACCAUACUAAGUAGUAUGUGCGCUGUUGUUUAUGUUAUGUAGACUUAAAACUCUUAAGCGUUUUUUUUUUUUAUUGGUGAAAUUUUUACUGGGGCACUGCAGAUCAACAGUGAAAUAUGUCUGGCGACCCCCCUGGGUAGUGCUAUGAAGCCAUUGACUUUGUCGCCUUCUACAGCAUGUACGAUCUGCUUGUCAGUCCAGCAACAUGUUGUGUGUGGCUUCCGCGGUAACACGCACACGA